UUUAUGGAGAGUUUGAUCCUGGCUCAGGACGAACGCUGGCUGCGUGCUUAACACAUGCAAGUCGAACGCUGAAGCCCCAGCUUGCUGGGGUGGAUGAGUGGCGAACGGGUGAGUAACACGUGAGUAACCUGCCCCUGACUUCGGGAUAAGCCCGGGAAACUGGGUCUAAUACCGGAUACGACCUGCUCUCGCAUGAGAGUGGGUGGAAAGUUUUUUCGGUUGGGGAUGGGCUCGCGGCCUAUCAGUUUGUUGGUGAGGUAAUGGCUCACCAAGACGACGACGGGUAGCCGGCCUGAGAGGGCGACCGGCCACACUGGGACUGAGACACGGCCCAGACUCCUACGGGAGGCAGCAGUGGGGAAUAUUGCACAAUGGGGGAAACCCUGAUGCAGCGACGCAGCGUGCGGGAUGACGGCCUUCGGGUUGUAAACCGCUUUCAGCAGGGAAGAAGCGAGAGUGACGGUACCUGCAGAAGAAGUACCGGCUAACUACGUGCCAGCAGCCGCGGUAAUACGUAGGGUACGAGCGUUGUCCGGAAUUAUUGGGCGUAAAGAGCUCGUAGGUGGUUGGUCACGUCUGCUGUGGAAACGCAACGCUUAACGUUGCGCGUGCAGUGGGUACGGGCUGACUAGAGUGCAGUAGGGGAGUCUGGAAUUCCUGGUGUAGCGGUGAAAUGCGCAGAUAUCAGGAGGAACACCGGUGGCGAAGGCGGGACUCUGGGCUGUAACUGACACUGAGGAGCGAAAGCAUGGGGAGCGAACAGGAUUAGAUACCCUGGUAGUCCAUGCCGUAAACGUUGGGCACUAGGUGUGGGGGGCAUUCCACGUUCUCCGCGCCGUAGCUAACGCAUUAAGUGCCCCGCCUGGGGAGUACGGUCGCAAGGCUAAAACUCAAAGGAAUUGACGGGGGCCCGCACAAGCGGCGGAGCAUGCGGAUUAAUUCGAUGCAACGCGAAGAACCUUACCAAGGCUUGACAUACACCAGACCGGCCUGGAAACAGGUCUUCCCCUUUGGGGUUGGUGUACAGGUGGUGCAUGGUUGUCGUCAGCUCGUGUCGUGAGAUGUUGGGUUAAGUCCCGCAACGAGCGCAACCCUCGUUCUAUGUUGCCAGCACGUGAUGGUGGGAACUCAUAGGAGACUGCCGGGGUCAACUCGGAGGAAGGUGGGGAUGACGUCAAAUCAUCAUGCCCUUUAUGUCUUGGGCUUCACGCAUGCUACAAUGGCUGGUACAAAGAGAAGCGAGCCCGUGAGGGUCAGCGAAUCCCUUAAAGCCAGUCUCAGUUCGGAUCGUAGUCUGCAAUUCGACUACGUGAAGUCGGAGUCGCUAGUAAUCGCAGAUCAGCAACGCUGCGGUGAAUACGUUCCCGGGCCUUGUACACACCGCCCGUCAAGUCACGAAAGUCGGUAACACCCGAAGCCGGUGGCCUAACCCCGUAUGGGGAGGGGGCCGUCUAAGGUGGGACUGGUGAUUGGGACUAAGUCGUAACAAGGUAGCCGUACCGGAAGGUGCGGCUGGAUCACCUCCUUUCUAAGGA
rnacentral:rRNA from 1 species